rnacentral:rRNA from 1 species
UCGUGAGCUAACCGUAAGGAGGCAGCGACCUAAGGUAGGGUCAGCGAUUGGGGUGAAGUCGUAACAAGGUAGCCGUAGGAGAACCUGCGGCUGGAUCACCUCCUUUCUA